AAGCCGUAAUAAGGUAACCGUAGGAAAACCUGCGGUUGUAUCAUUAAAAAUGAUAAAACAGCCUCUUAUUACUUGAUCGCCCGGAGGUGGCUCACCGCUCGUUUUAGCGGGAACGCGUUUGACGGAUAUAUCUGAGCAUAACGCGUUACCCACGUUUUUUUCACAAAAAAUUUACCGCGGUUUCUAAUCUGACCCAUGAUUCCGAAUGCGUUCUUGCGAUGAACUUUGGCACACAUUUUGUGAACCGUUUCUGUCUUUGGUGAUUGGGCGGCUGCAUUAUGCGAGCAGUUCGCUUGUCAGCCCAGGUUGGAUGACCUGGGCCGUGGACAGACCACCGCAUGUUUUCAAAACCUCUGUCUAUUGUAUUACUUUGUCUGAAAUUCUAUUUGUAUGAACAUACAAACAACCUUUGGCAACGGAUCUCUUGGUUCUC
rnacentral:misc_RNA from 1 species